rnacentral:lncRNA from 1 species
UUUAUACCUUUCUUUUGCUUAUCUCUUUCUACUCUCUCCUUUUACCUUCUUUACACAGCUGUCAAUUUGGGAGAGAAUGAGUCAAGAUGCUCUUCAAAAAAUUUGAUCCCACAGAAGAUAUGGAAAAUGGUCAAAAAGCCUUGGCUAGAGAAGAAGCUCUGGCUCCCACUCCUCAUAUACAUACUUUUACCACCAGACAUUGUGGAAAAGGUGAGAUCUGGUGAAUACUUUUUCUCAAGAAAGAAGGAUGAGCAAUUCCCCUUUGCAGGCGGAGCUGCCCACAAACCCUGGACACUGGCUACCUGCAGGAGUCACAGGGAGCACCAGUGCAACACAGCAUGGAAAACACUUAUGUUCCUAGCAGGGCAAUCCAAAGCAAUACAUUUCACAACCAGUCAACAAACAAGGAUAUAGACUGGCAGUUGUGAGCCCUCCUGCUGGAAGUGCUUGUAUGGAUCUCAUGAGAAGCCAAGGAAGUUCCAUUCAGUUCACUAACCAGUCGUAAGUCAAUAGCAAAUCCCAGCUGCAGUCUCUCUGCCAGGCCUACCAGGCUUCGGCAUGGAUCCCAGGCAGACCAACAGAACUAAAUUUACAGUGGAACUGUUUGGAAUAACAAAUUAAGAGGAAAAAAAUCAGGAUAUGUUCAUAAUUACAUUCCAUGAACGUAAAGGGAGGUCAUGUGUUGCAUAUGUUAUUUUUUGCAGAAAGUCAUUCUCUCCCAGCUCUAAAUUAAUCAUGUUUCAUCAGAAUGGUUUUGCAUAUCAAUAAAGCUGCAUUGCUUAGAAAUUCA